rnacentral:tRNA from 1 species
GGAGAGAUGGCCGAGCACGGCUGAAGGCGCUCGCCUGCUAAGCGAGUGUAGGGGGUCAACUCCUACCGAGGGUUCGAAUCCCUCUCUCUCCGCCA